CAGAAUUCGAGUGUACGUUUUUCGAUUCGUAGGCACAAAGACACGGCCAAUUCCCUGCUAUUUCCGGAGCGAAAAGAAAACCACCGCAUUCACCCGGCACUGUGGGCCAACCUGGAAUGUAUAAACAUCGCCCAUUUCCCCGUAAUCCUCGGUAUACCUCCAGACCUGGAAGGAGGGGACAUGGUUACAAUUGACUGUUGAAGCCUUGAUGUCCUUUAUUCCGAAUUGAAAGGAUGGGCUUUAUCCGUCCAUUAGUGUUGGUAGGUGCGGGUGUCUACAUUGGAUUGGUGAUAGCUAAACAUUAUGAGAUUCCUUUUGAAGUCAGAGAUCCUAAGGAAGCUUAUGACCGGAUUCAACAAUACUUGGAAAAACUGAAGAAGAAUGAUUAAUUCUUGCGCAAAUCUUGGGACUCAUCUUACAGCACAUAGACUCCUUUGGAUUUUGUUAACUAUCAUUUUGUGCGUCACAUUCCCGACUGAUAGAAACUUAUGUUAUUAAUGUCUAUAAUGUGUAAAGGACUUUGACUAUUUUUAUUUGCUGUGCACAGAAACCAUAACUGUUUUAGAGUUAUUAUUUUUUUUGCAUACUGAUUUUUUGUCCGGACUCCGGUGCAUAACUUGAAAAGUCGUUGAGGUAUUAAGGAGAAGCGCAGUGUACAGGAACAGUAACUCUUUCUGCAGUAUUUUAUUUCAGUUAGUGUCCUUGGUUAAUUAUCUGUUAUCCUGUUGUUAGGUGAAGUUUAAACUGUUCUCAGCAGGAGAUAUGGCAGUCUGUGACUGCCCUUGUUUAUUUUGAGGCAGUGAAAUCAGUAACAAUUGUUUCGGGGGAUGGGGGGGGGGUGCAUUUUAUAUAUCAAUAUGUACAUUUUCUACACAUAUGUAUUGUUGCAUCAAAGAAUCUUGUCAUCUUAUUUACAUUGUUUAUUUUGUGAUACAUAAUGUGUGGUGAAAUUUGUGAAUAAAACAUUACAUGUUUA